rnacentral:rRNA from 1 species
AGAAUCAACGCUGGCGGCGUGCCUAACACAUGCAAGUCGAACGAGAAAGUGGUAGCAAUACCAUGAGUAAAGUGGCGCACGGGUGAGUAACACGUGACUAACCUACCCUGGAGUGGGGGAGUAACUGAGGGAAACCUUAGCUAAUACCGCAUAAUACCUACGGGUACGAAAGGAGCAAUUCGCGUUUGGGAGGGGGUCGGCGGCCGAUUAGCUAGUUGGCGGGGUAAGUGGCCCACCAAGGCGAUGAUCGGUA